rnacentral:lncRNA from 1 species
GAAACGUCCAUAUCUGCAUCAAUAUGUGUCUGUUUGACGAAAGAAAAUAAAAGAAACCGUGCAAAUAUAAACAUCGGUGAGUACAAGAGGAUGCUUUCGGAACACGCGAUGAUAAAAUUCUACAACUAUCCAUAUUUCUUUGCAGUUAGUCCUAGCUCUUCUUGUAUACCUAAUAAAACGAAGAUGAAAAAAAUGAAACACUUGGGCUUGAAUAACAGUGCUCGAUGAACUGGGAAUUCGAUCUGGCUCGGUUUGUUGUUAUUGUACAAUGAUCUAGUGAUCGUUGAAAUGCUACUUGCAAGAACAUCCAAGGGGGUUCCUCGUGGAGGGUCAAGGCGAAUCUUUUGUCGUGAGAAUUCAUUCUACAAUUAAAUAUACGAGACGCAUUGUACGAAUUUAAAGCAACGUGACCCAUUUACGGAUAAGACAAUAAUGACAUCGGAGCAUUUUAUGACACUAAAACUUGCCGCCGAAUCCAGCCGCUUUUCAGGGACGAAUCGUGGGCCAGGGGCCCCGAUACCGAAGAUUUUAUAUUUCA